ANUAUAAUUAUUGGGGGUAAAAAUACAAUAUCCAAAUGACAUACGACAACACAUAAAAUAUAUUAGGUGUUUGCGUCUUCUCUAGGGACUUUCAAUUAAAAACUAAAUUUGUAAACUCUUAAAGGUAUUUAUUUAUCUCCUGGGAUUAAGCAAUUCACGCACUAUUUUACAUUUACAAUAAGUGUUGCUUAUGCAUUUUCCUCUAUAAGGAGGCCGGCAAUACAUUUUGUUUUGAUAAUCUGAAUCAUCAAAACAUUUGAUUCUCUCUGCUGCAAUAAAAAAACACUAUAUGGUUAUUAAAAUGAAAAAAAAUAUAACGUAUGAAAUAAAACAGAACAUUUAAAAUGAAUGAACAAAAGUUACCUUUAAUUUUCGUUCCAAUAAAAAAUAGAAAGAAUAAUAUAAUCAUAACCUAAGGAAAAUUUAUUACUUCUACCAUAUUUCUCCUCGUUAUUUUUAAUAAAUUAUUUUGUAACUUCAUAGUUUAUGAAUAAGAGUGGAUCCUCGCCUUUAAUAAUUUUUACUUGUGGACACUUAGUUGUAAAAUAAAUCUUAAAAUUAAAUUAAUUAGUAUAUAACUUUUCGAUACAUCAUUUUGUUGUCUUUGU
rnacentral:lncRNA from 1 species